UCUGGGCCCUCAAUGGACUGCGUGAUGCUCGUCUGCAGUGAGGACAAUUCCCGUUACUCAGUCUACUGAUUCAAAUGCCAACCUCUUCUGGAAACACCCUCACAGACACAUCCAGAUCAUCUAUAACCAGAUCUCUGGGCAUCUUGAGGUCUAGUCAAAAUGACACAUAAAACUAUCACAAAUAUCAAGGGUGGAAGUAAAAGGCUAAAAAUCACGGAAAGACCUCAGAGAGUGAGAUGGGAACAGUAUAUUUUCAAUUACGUAUGUAUGUAUGUAUGUAUGUAUGUAUUAGGGUGGGGGGACAGAGGAAGAGAAACAUCAACAUGAAAGAAAUAUCAAUCAGUUGCCUGUCAUACUUGACCCAACCAGGGACCAAACCCUCAACCGAGGCAUGUACACUGACCGGGAAUCAAACCACUGAACUUUUGCUUUGCAGAAUGAUGUCCAACCAACUGAGCCACAGUGACUGCGGCAGGAACAGUACAUUUUCAAUAUAGACCUUUCCACGGUUUUAGUCCCCACUGCCUGAGCUGCUGGGAACACUUGUUAGCACAAAUCUACGAUCCCACUGGGAAGCCUGAAAGACUUUGUCUCAAGGCACAAAUACUAAAGCUCACAAGGGCUUUUGUAACAUCAUGAAGUGCGUUCUGGCCAUGCGAAACUGCUGCUGCUGCUCAAACCCAGAGCCGGUGCUGUUCUCGAAGACAGCUAAAGACUCGCAUUCUUCUGCAAGCAUCAUUUUGACCACGGAAGCAUUCCUGUCUAUGACAGACAGAGCACAUUGCCGCCGAAGCUCUUGCUCCCCUUCACAGUGUAGAGUUGUUCUUGGGAAGUGGCUGCCCAGCCAGGGACUAUACAGUCAAAGAACUUGUCACAAAUGCAGAGGGUCUUCAGUGAAUGACCUCCCAGUCCCAGAAAUCAUCCCUCUUGCAAAACGAGGCCCAUCGAGGAAUGUGAAGGUAUUCACUCCGUAAGCUGCCACCGAACCUGAGAUGGAGGGUCAGCCCACCAGAAAAGAAAGAGCUUCAGCAGUUUGGGUUUGCAGAGCCUCUGUGGUAAGGCUGCCAACUCAGCAGACACUUUUGCUUUCCUCCUUAAUGUGCACCCUGAAAUCCUCACAUACCACCGUGUGACUCUGAUCUUGUCCGAGGUGCAUGCGUUCAGUUCCUUCAGGCCACAGGUGACAGGGUCUGUGACCCUCUGAGUGGCCUAAAGGUGCUGACUCCAGUACAAUUUCACACAUGGUCAGAAAAUACAUCUCCCAAACAGGCUUCGUUCUCUUCACCAGCCCUUCCUCCAAAGAAUCCCUGGGCAGAAUCUCAACCCAGCU